AGCAGGAAGCAGGAACUCUGAUUUCAGACACCUGACAUCCUGCAGCCCGAGCCCUGUGACUCUCAGUUUCAUAACUGGCCCAUUCCCUGUUGGUGAGCAGCCUGAUAUUCUCCUUGAAUUUUGAUCACCUACUGCAGACACACACCAAGGGUCUGUGAUAUCUGCUGAACCACCUCCACCCCAAGACCCUUGGGUGGCCUUACCCAUCAUGUCAGAUGCUUGAAUAUUUUCGGUCUUUGCCUCUUGGCCUCUUGGUACACCUUUUGAAAAACACAUGACACAGGAACAGUUCUCAUUUUCAGGUCCUGGUAACCCUGCCUUUCAAUUUUAAUUUGUA